GACGAACGCUGGCGGCGUGCCUAAUACAUGCAAGUAGGACGCAGUUGCGAACGGGUGAGUAACGCGUAGGUAACUACCUAUUAGAGGGGGAUAACUAUUGGAAACGAUAGCUAAUACCGCAUACUAGUAGAUGGACCUGCGUUGUAUUAGCUAGUAGGUAGGGUAAAGGCCUACCUAGGCAACGAUACAUAGCCGACGUGGAGGGGUGUACGGCCAACCUUGGACUUGAACCACGCCCAGACCUCUACGGGGGGCCGGAGGAGGGGAUCUUCGGAAAUGGGGGGAACCCCUACCGAGGAAAGGCCCGGGGUAUAAAGAGGGUUUCGGGGUGGAAAGGUAUGUUGUUAAGGAAGCGUUACUUAACCAGAAAGGGACGGCUAACUACGUGCCAGCAGCCGCGGUAAUAC
rnacentral:rRNA from 1 species